GAUGAACGCUAGCGGGAGGCCUAACACAUGCAAGCCGAGCGGUAGAGUUUCUUCGGAAACUUGAGAGCGGCGCACGGGUGCGUAACACGUGUGCAACCUACCUUUAUCUGGGGGAUAGCCUUUCGAAAGGAAGAUUAAUACCCCAUAAUAUAAUGAUUGGCAUCAAUUAUUAUUGAAAACUCCGGUGGAUAGAGGUGGGCACGCGCAAGAUUAGAUAGUUGGUGAGGUAACGGCUCACCAAGUCAAUGAUCUUUAGGGGUCCUGAGAGGGAGAUCCCCCACACUGGUACUGAGACACGGACCAGACUCCUACGGGAGGCAGCAGUGAGGAAUAGUGGACAAUGGGUGAGAGCCUGAUCCAGCCAUCCCGCGUGAAGGAUGACGGUCCUAUGGAUUGUAAACUUCUUUUGUACAGGGAUAAACCUACCCUCGUGAGGGUAGCUGAAGGUACUGUACGAAUAAGCACCGGCUAACUCCGU
rnacentral:rRNA from 1 species